CCUACGGGCGGCAGCAGUGAGGAAUAUUGGUCAAUGGACGAGAGUCUGAACCAGCCAAGUAGCGUGAAGGAUGACUGCCCUAUGGGUUGUAAACUUCUUUUAUAUGGGAAUAAAAUGUUCCACGUGUGGGAUUUUGUAUGUACCAUAUGAAUAAGGAUCGGCUAACUCCGUGCCAGCAGCCGCGGUAAUACGGAGGAUCCGAGCGUUAUCCGGAUUUAUUGGGUUUAAAGGGAGCGUAGAUGGAUUGUUAAGUCAGUUGUGAAAGUUUGCGGCUCAACCGUAAAAUUGCAGUUGAAACUGGCAGUCUUGAGUACAGUAGAGGUGGGCGGAAUUCGUGGUGUAGCGGUGAAAGGCUUAGAUAUCACGAAGAACUCCGAUUGCGAAGGCAGCUCACUGGACUGCAACUGACACUGAGGCUCGAAAGUGUGGGUAUCAAACAGGAUUAGAUACCCUGGUAGUC
rnacentral:rRNA from 1 species